UAUUUUUAAAAAAAAAAAAAAUAAAAAAAAUAAAAAAAAAUUAAAAUAAUGCUUGACAGCUUGAGGCCUUGAGUGACGCUUGAAUUCUCUUUCAUUUCAUUCUAACCCUAACAAACAACAGGCUGUCUCCCCCUCUCCCUCACGCAGUCACGCACUCACGCAAGUCUCAGCCCACCGCGGCAACGCCCACCGCCGACACCUCCUGCCUUCCUCACUCUCUCAGGCGAAGUCCAGGCGCCCACCGACCACCGCAUGAGACAGCUACUGCGCGGAUUUCGAUUUCUCCGGGAGUGAAGGAAGUCAAGGAACCACGGAUUCUUAUUCUUGCAAUGUAAGUUGCUCUUAAAUUUUUUUUAUAAAAUGGUAUGUGUAUAUAAUUGUUACUUUAAAAUUACUUAUAUUGUAUAUAAUUAUAUUGUAGAUGGAGAGCUCUCAAUCCAAACGGUCUGCUUCUUUUUCUGAACAAACGUCACAGCCACGUCGGAAUCUGCUUUUAGUACGGGAGGUCGUACUCUAGAUCCAUUUCGGAGUUCUUUGACUCCUAAGAUGGUUCAAGCGUUACUUUGCACACAAGAUUGGCUUA